UACGGAGGGUGCAAGCGUUGUUCGGAAUUACUGGGCGUAAAGGGCGCGUAGGCGGCCUGCUAAGUCGGAUGUGAAAUCCCUCGGCUCAACCGAGGAACUGCAUCCGAUACUGGCGGGCUUGAAUCCGGGAGAGGGAUGCGGAAUUCCAGGUGUAGCGGUGAAAUGCGUAGAUAUCUGGAGGAACACCGGUGGCGAAGGCGGCAUCCUGGACCGGUAUUGACGCUGAGGCGCGAAAGCUAGGGGAGCAAACGGG
rnacentral:rRNA from 1 species